AGCGAACGCUGGCGGCAGGCUUAACACAUGCAAGUCGAAGGGAGUGGCAGACGGGUGAGUAACACGUGGGAACGUACCUUUCGGUUCGGAAUAAUACAGGGAAACUUGUACUAAUACCGGAUACCGAUUGCUCGGCCCGCGUCUGAUUCGCUGGUGGGUGAGGUAAUGGCUCACGAAGGCGACGAUCAGUAGCUGGUCUGAGAGGAUGAUCAGCCACACUGGGACUGAGACACGGCCCAGAUUCGUACGGGAGGCAGCAGGGGGGAAUAUUGGACGAGGGGCGCAAGCCUGAGCCAGCCAUGCCGAGUGAGUGAUGAAGGCCUUAGGGUUGUAAAGCUCUUUUGUCCGGGAAGCUGUACCGGAAGAAUAAGCCCCGGCUAACUUCGUGCCAGCAGCCGCGGUAAUAC
rnacentral:rRNA from 1 species